CCUACGGGUGGCAGCAGUGAGGAAUAUUGGUCAAUGGACGAGAGUCUGAACCAGCCAAGUAGCGUGAAGGAUGACUGCCCUAUGGGUUGUAAACUUCUUUUAUAUGGGAAUAAAAUGUUCCACGUGUGGGAUUUUGUAUGUACCAUAUGAAUAAGGAUCGGCUAACUCCGUGCCAGCAGCCGCGGUAAUACGGAGGAUCCGAGCGUUAUCCGGAUUUAUUGGGUUUAAAGGGAGCGUAGGUGGAGUGUUAAGUCAGUUGUGAAAGUUUGCGGCUCAACCGUAAAAUGGCAGUUGAAACUGGCAGUCUUGAGUACAGUAGAGGUGGGCGGAAUUCGUGGUGUAGCGGUGAAAUGCUUAGAGAUCACGAAGAACUCCGGUUGCGAAGGCAGUUCACUGGACUGCAACUGACACUGAGGCUCGAAAGUGUGGGUAUCAAACAGGAUUAGAUACCCUGGUAGUC
rnacentral:rRNA from 1 species